rnacentral:rRNA from 1 species
AUUGAACGCUGGCGGCAGGCCUAACACAUGCCAGUCGAGCGGUGCGGCGGACGGGUGAGUAAUGCCUAGGAAUCUGCCUGGUAGUGGGGGAUAACGUCCGGAAACGGGCGCUAAUACCGCAUACUCUCAGAUGAGCCUAGGUCGGAUUGGCUAGUUGGUGGGGUAAAGGCCUACCAGGGCGACGAUCCGUAACUGGUCUGAGAGGAUUAUCAGUCACACUGGAACUGAGAGACGGUCCAGACUCCUACGGGAGGCAGCAGUGGGGAAUAUUGGGCAAUGGGCGAAAGCCUGAUCCAGCCAUGCCGCGUGUGUGAAGAAGGUCUUCGGAGUGUAAAGCACUUUAAGUUGGGAGGCGUUACCAACAGAAUAAGCACCGGCUAACUACGUGCCAGCAGCCGCGGUAAUUC